GCCUGAAAUUCUUAGUAGGUACUCUGUUCUGCUCAAGGUUCACAAGGGCCGAGGAAGAUUCCAUCAAGCUAAUCACAGUCAUUCUCCUCUCAGUUCGGGCUGAGCCUCUAUCCCAAAGCCUAGAACCACUGGACAUUAUAAAAUACAGCCACAAUGAAAUAAACUAUGUAUAGUUAGUGCUGAUGCAGGCAGAGGCAGAUACAUACCCUGAGACAGAUAGGGCCUAUGGUCACAAGAGUACCUGGCUGUGGUCCAAGUGGCUCAGCUUUUCUGUUAAGACUGUGCAGCUAUGGUUUUUGCCUCUGAAAAACAACCCAGACAUAUUCAAACACAUGCUUACGGCACAGUGAGGGACAGCAUUUGCAGACCCAGAUAUUUCUUAUUUGAAAACGCCUUUCCUGGAAAGGAAAGUUAUGAUGUGUUACAACAAAACCUCUUUCCUGUUAGCGCAGCUUAAAAGACACCCAUGUCCCAGGAUCUCUUUGCCAUCACAGCUGUCCUUUCAGGUUACCUGGAUGAAACACAGGCUUCAGAGAACCUUUGUCAUUAGCACUUACACUCCUCCCACCCACCUCCCACCUCCAGCCCCUGGGUUUCAUUUCCACAUUAGCUCAAUCCAAAUACUUCUGGGUACAACUCAUGCUUGGUUUGUGCCUAGUCCCCCAAUAUUGCUGCUCAAAUCACCAUUAUAGGAGCUGAGUACAAAUGAGUGACCCAGUAGUCUACAGGAUUCAAAUGGCUGUCUCCGGGCCAGGCAUUUCACUUUUCCCUGGCUAUGCGUAAAUUUUCUCCAUGUAUCAGUGGACUUGGCAGGUACAGGGCCCCAGCCAUCUCUUGUGAGCAUGGUUGAGAGUGGGGUCCAGCUCUCCUUUUCCAGGGACACUGCUUCUUCAGAGCUGGUUAGUGUAGCAGCCCAUGGGUUCUCUGCUGCGAAAAGACUGAACCCAAUCCUAAUACUAGAGGCAAAAGUCAGCCUCUUACCACAGUAUCAAGGACCCAGGCAGGAGAGAAUCAAAGGGCUCUGAUUCUGGCUUAGUUUCCACCGCCAACUGGCCUCGUAACAUAGUAACAUAGGACAAAUUAACCCUGCUCUCUGGGUCUGGAUUUCCUUGUAUCCAAAGUGGGGGCUGAGCAAGAUCACAACCAAAAUGCCUACUAAGCUGGAUGUGGUGGCUACACCCGUAAUCCCAGCACGUCGGGAGGCUAAGGUGGCAGAUCGUUUGGGCCCAGGAGUUCGAGACCAGCCUGAGCAAUAUAACAAGACC
rnacentral:lncRNA from 1 species